AACGAACGCUGGCGGCAGGCCUAACACAUGCAAGUCGAGCGCCCCGCAAGGGGAGCGGCGGACGGGUGAGUAACGCGUGGGAACGUGCCCUUUGCUACGGAAUAGCCCCGGGAAACUGGGAGUAAUACCGUAUAAGCCCUACGGGGGAAAGAUUUAUCGGCAAAGGAUCGGCCCGCGUUGGAUUAGGUAGUUGGUGGGGUAAUGGCCUACCAAGCCGACGACCCAUAGCUGGUUUGAGAGGAUGAUCAGCCACACUGGGACUGAGACACGGCCCAGACUCCUACGGGAGGCAGCAGUGGGGAAUCUUAGACAAUGGGCGCAAGCCUGAUCUAGCCAUGCCGCGUGAGCGAUGAAGGCCUUAGGGUUGUAAAGCUCUUUCGUGGGGGAGGAUAAUGACUGUACCCCAAGAAGAAGCCCCGGCUAACUCCGUGCCAGCCGCCGCGGUAACAC
rnacentral:rRNA from 1 species